UGCUGGAGGUUGCUGCCACUCUGCCUGGUUGUGUUGAGUCGCGCCGCCGUGCCUGGCCACCGGAAAACCCCGCUGCCGUCGCCGGAAAACUCUUCCGGCGCCAUUGCCGGAGUCUGGUCACCGCUACUACUUGAGGUGGCUGCCGGGCUGCUGCCGAACCGGUUCGGAGACCGCCGCUGUUCCGGUUUAGCUGUUCCUUCUUCAUUCGUGUUGCUGUAGUUACCGCGGGAGUGGCUUGGAGCCGAGGUUGCGGUUGUUGGUGAUUUCGGUUUAAGAGAGGAGGUUCCUGUGAUGCGUUUGGGUUAUGGAUUUGCGUUUUGAGGUAGGG